AUUGAACGCUGGCGGCAUGCCUUACACAUGCAAGUCGAACGGCAGCACGGGAGCAAUCCUGGUGGCGAGUGGCGAACGGGUGAGUAAUAUAUCGGAACGUGCCCGGUCGUGGGGGAUAACGUAGCGAAAGCUACGCUAAUACCGCAUACGAUCUACGGAUGAAAGCGGGGGAUCGCAAGACCUCGCGCGAUUGGAGCGGCCGAUAUCAGAUUAGGUAGUUGGUGAGGUAAAGGCUCACCAAGCCGACGAUCUGUAGCUGGUCUGAGAGGACGACCAGCCACACUGGGACUGAGACACGGCCCAGACUCCUACGGGAGGCAGCAGUGGGGAAUUUUGGACAAUGGGCGCAAGCCUGAUCCAGCAAUGCCGCGUGCGGGAUGAAGGCCUUCGGUUGUAACUAGCUUUGUUACGGUAACGGAAACGGUACGGAG
rnacentral:rRNA from 1 species